CCUACGGGUGACAGCAGUCGAGAAUCAUUCACAAUGGGGGAAACCCUGAUGGUGCGACGCCGCGUGGGGGAAUGAAGGUCUUCGGAUUGUAAACCCCUGUCAUGUGGGAGCAAAUUAAAAAGAUAGUACCACAAGAGGAAGAGACGGCUAACUCUGUGCCAGCAGCCGCGGGAAUACAGAGGUCUCAAGCGUUGUUCGGAAUCACUGGACGUAAAGCGUGCGUAGGCUGUUUCGUAAGUCGUGUGUGAAAGGCGCGGGCUCAACCCGCGGACGGAACAUGAUACUGCGAGACUAGAGUAAUGGAGGGGGAACCGGAAUUCUCGGUGUAGCAGUGAAAUGCGUAGAUAUCGAGAGGAACACUCGUGGCGAAGGCGGGUUCCUGGACAUUAACUGACGCUGAGGCACGAAGGCCAGGGGAGCGAAAGGGAUUAGAUACCCCGGUAGUC
rnacentral:rRNA from 1 species